GCCCGCUCAGAAACUCAAAUGAAUUGACGGGGGCCCCGCACAAGCGGUGGAGCAUGUGGUUUAAUUCGAUGAUACGCGAGGAACCUUACCUGGGCUCAAAUGUAUGUUGACGUAUUCUGAAAGGGAUACUUCUUCGGACAAUAUACAAGGUGCUGCAUGGUUGUCGUCAGCUCGUGCCGUGAGGUGUCGGGUUAAGUCCCAUAACGAGCGCAACCCCUAUCAUUAGUUGCCAUCAGGUCAAGCUGGGGACUCUAAUGAGACUGCCAUCGUAAGAUGUGAGGAAGGUGGGGAUGACGUCAAAUCAGCACGGCCCUUACGUCCGGGGCGACACACGUGUUACAAUGGGUGGUACAAAGGGCAGCUACCUGGCGACAGGAUGCUAAUCUCGAAAACCGCUCUCAGUUCGGAUCGGAGUCUGCAACUCGACUCCGUGAAGCUGGAUUCGCUAGUAAUCGCGCAUCAGCCACGGCGCGGUGAAUACGUUCCCGGGCCUU
rnacentral:rRNA from 1 species